CGCGAGUCUAGGCCCUGCCGAAAUGCGUUCACUACGCGGAUCUGUAAACAACAAAACAAUUAGACUCUCUUCUUACAUUGAUGUCUAUCGGAUUUAAAGGAACAAGGCAGGUUUUAAUUUUUUUGAGGUAAUAGUCAAUGCGCAACCAUGCAUUAGUCAUGCAGUGUACGUACCAUUUGUUUAUAAAAACUCAUAUGACGUUUUUAUUUGAAAAAUAAUAAUAAAUAGCGUACGUACACGAUGCAGCUGAAAAAAGGUAUUGAAUUUGAUAUUUCAUGCACAAUGCGUUGAUUUAUUUUCAAACCAACAAUAUUUUAUUGUUAUUUGUUAUUUGAUAAAUUAAAACAAUUAUACUAUUUUUGAAAUUCAUCUAGCUGGUUUUUAGGCAAGUACAAGCGUUUUUAUUCAAAUCAUGCAAGAAUUUUUAAAAUUAAAUUAUAUAUAAUAAUAAAAUAAUACUUUAAAAGUUUUAAGCUUAAUAUUAAUAUCAGUAAAGGCUUUAGAUAACUUUAUAAAUCUAUUUGAUGGAAUAUCUCACCCGUAUCCCGUGUGCUCGCUAUCAUUUUCAUACAUUUUUUUUUAUUGAA